UGCGUGAAAGAGUACAAUUGUUUCAACUCUUCCACUUUUUCAUGCAAGAAUACAGCUGUUUUUACAGCUUUAGUCUACAUCACAUUUAUUGCCCCAUUUCUCUUUACCGUGUGUAUUCCUUUCCUUCUCUCUUUCUUUCUCCAAAAUAUUUAUGGCUUCUCUCUCAAAAUCUCUCUCUCUCUCUUGGCAAGUAUAGGAAAGGUAUCUCGCCGGAUCAGCAGCGACUCAUCUUCGCUGGGAAACAGCUCGAAGACGGCCGGACCUCCGCCUCUCUGCUUGGUCGACGAGCAACAGUAAUCAUCGGGCCACCGCUGCCGCCGAUGAUUUUGCACUGGGAGCCGAAACUGCAUCGAUUUCAGGCAUUUUUUUUUAUUUAGGUGCUUGGUUUUUUUGGUAGUAUUUCUUGAGUGCUAAGAAGACUAAGCAAAUAUGCAGAAUGAGGAGGGGCAAAACAUGGAUCUCUAUAUCCCAAGGAAGUGUGUAGGAAAUUUCCAACCAUCUCCACAUAUGUCAUUCUAGGGUAGGGAUCUCCUAGAAUGAUGGUCCAAUUGGUGUUCAGUUUUUGCAGAAUCUGUGGAUGAUCUCAAAGUACUGGAGAGAUCUCCAAAUAUCUAUUCCAAGGUAAAAGUUUUAAUUUGUCUUUUUUAAAUGUUAUUUGCUCUUAAUUCCUAUAUAUGCCUUUUUGAUUUAAUAUUUUUUUUCUUCAUAUUAUGCAACUGUUAGUUUGUCAACAGAGCUCGAUUAUGAUGGAGGUGAUGUCACAUUUUGUUAGUUUGUGUUGUAUGUUAACUUUGUGUUUGACUACAAAGCUUAUCUUUCGUAGUUCGUUUUGUGAAUAGGAACCACCUAUUGGCUGAGUAAGAAGCAGAGGUGGUGGGAGAGAGGGAGGCCUAGAGGUGGCCCAACUGGGAGUUGGGCUCACUAUAGCAAUAAGCUUUUCAGUGUACUGAGACUUUGAGAGUUUCCUAGGUCUCUUGCUGGUAAGGGAAACUGAGAUGAUUUUACUUGUGGGCAUCCUUUUGUAUAUAAAUGUGUUGUACGAUUCUUUAUAUUUUACUAAUCUUGAUGAUUCUACUGUAUUGGUGAGCCUUGCUUGUGGUAAUCUUUCUGGCAAUGCAUCAUCAACAAGUGGGAAACUUAUAAUGGUAUGGAGUUAUAAUAUAUUACAACUUGAAACAUUUCUGUUUUAUUAGUUCAGUUGAAGGUAGGCUUAGCAUGCUAAAUGAUUACGAUAUUUUGCUUGCUGGGCAUUUUGUUUUCUUGAGUUGGUUAUGUCUAGAUAUGUAAAAUUUGGUUGUUUAGUUUGUAUGGAAAUUCGGCAAAUUUCUUCAGCAUAAGUUUGCUUCCAUUUCUACACUUGGGAAGGUAUUGAAACUCUCACAUGCUACUUCUCUACUGAAAGUUAUAUCUUGCUCAUUGCUUUAUGUUUUCAUUGUUAUAGAAUCAUUUGGAGACCCGCAAGCUUCAGCGUAUAUAUGGGAAGGAAGAGCUAAACAUAUAAUCAUCAGCCAUAACCCAACGACUUCUUCCGCCGUUGGCCACCAUGUAUGAUGUUUUCCAAGAGAAGGUGGUAAUGGCAGUUGACAAGGCCAUAGACACACUGUUGAGGUUGGGUUUAGUAGUGACAGUGAUUUGUGUUAUUAUUUGUGUUAAAGACAUUGGCUGAAUCUUGGAUGAACUCGGAGAAGACUGGAGAGAUAUCCGAAUAUCUGUUGAAAGCAUUUCAAGAAUUAAUCUUGCUAUAUAUUGGGAACAAUGGAGAAAGGGAAACUCCAGAUCAAGCUGAAGUGCUUUCGUACAUUUUUGUAAAUCUAUGAGAGAAUUCCUAUUCCAGAUUUGCCGGUUAUUUUUCCUCACAAGCAGCUGUGUUUUCGAAUCCUUGACGCGGUAUGUAUAAUAAGUCUAAUCUGAUCUGAUCUGUUCCAUAUCCCAAAAUUAUUUUUCUGCCCCGUUGGACCACUAAGAAUAAUCAACGUAGUUGUGUUUCGUUUCAUUUAAUGCAUUUCUGUUGUGGCUUGAACAAAUAUGUGCGGAUCUGGUGGAAUGAUCUUAGUUUCAAACUUGACGAUCCACCGUUUUGGUUCAUUCGUUAUCUUUAACCUUAAUCUUUGUGCAGUACAAAGAAGCCAUUUUGGUGUAUGCAACCUUACUUAAAGCAGAGAGUGACCAGGGUAGUAGUGGUUUCUCAGUUUGGAGUAUUAUUUGAAGUAGAAUGGAAAGAAAAUAAGUGAGCAAGAAUUUGGUUGAGUGCAGGUGAGAAGCACCAAAGGCAUUGCUCAUAAAUGUGAGGCAUUCAUGUAUGAUGUUUUCCAAGAGAAGGUAAAUAUUUAUCAAGGAUCGAUAAAUACACAUUUUCCUGGUGGCCUAACUCCUUCCAUGAAGUCCUGUCUCUUCAAAGGUUUUGGUGAAGCUUUGGCAUGUUGAGAUUGACUAGCAAGCCAUGAUGCAACGGGGGGACGAGCAACAGCAAUCAUCGGCCCGCUGCCGCCGCCAAUCUCUGUAUCUUUCCCCGUCAGAUUGAUUUUCGCCUGCAAUUUUCAUUUAUAUGUUCAAUUUUACUUCAUUCUUCAAUUUAACUGCUUAAGUUGCAUUUUUUGUCUGCAUACAUUUCUUGCUUUUCGGUUCUAAUGGUUCUUUUUAUUAAUCUUUUUACCAUUAUUUUUUUUAGAACUUAUCGAUAUUGAUUUUGGGAUGUUGCUGUAGGAUAUGAAAGAAAUUGAGAUUAUCUAGCUCUCCAAAUACAUGGUCCAAAGGUGAUUGUAAAACAUGGGUUAGCAGCUGAUACUUUGAAGUCUAUGAUUCACAGUGGUGAAGGUAGCAGGUUGGUUUGUAUCUAGAUAUGUAAAUUUUGGUUGUUUAGUUUGUAUGGAAAUUCAGUAAAUUUCAGCAAUUUUGAUGUUUAUGUGCAAUGAAUGAGUAUGACUGACUCAUAUUUUAGUAUUUUAUCAUGUUUUAUUACUCAUU